AUUGAACGCUGGCGGCAGGCCUAACACAUGCAAGUCGAGCGGAUGAAGGGAGCUUGCUCCUGGAUUCAGCGGCGGACGGGUGAGUAAUGCCUAGGAAUCUGCCUGGUAGUGGGGGAUAACGUCCGGAAACGGGCGCUAAUACCGCAUACGUCCUGAGGGAGAAAGUGGGGGAUCUUCGGACCUCACGCUAUCAGAUGAGCCUAGGUCGGAUUAGCUAGUUGGUGGGGUAAAGGCCUACCAAGGCGACGAUCCGUAACUGGUCUGAGAGGAUGAUCAGUCACACUGUAACUGAGACACGGGCCAGACUCCUACGGGAGGCAGCAGUGGGGAAUAUUGGACAAUGGGCGAAAGCCUGAUCCAGCCAUGCCGCGUGUGUGAAGAAGGUCUUCGGAUUGUAAAGCACUUUAAGUUGGGAGGAAGGGCAGUAAGUUAAUACCUUGCUGUUUUGACGUUACCAACAGAAUAAGCACCGGCUAACUUCGUG
rnacentral:rRNA from 1 species